UCGCUCAGAGUGAACGCUGGCGGCGUGCCUAAUACAUGCAAGUCGAACGAUGAAGCUUCUAGCUUGCUAGAAGUGGAUUAGUGGCGCACGGGUGAGUAACGCAUAGGUUAUGUGCCUCUUAGUUUGGGAUAGCCAUUGGAAACGAUGAUUAAUACCAGAUACUCCCUACGGGGGAAAGAUUUAUCGCUAAGAGAUCAGCCUAUGUCCUAUCAGCUUGUUGGUAAGGUAAUGGCUUACCAAGGCUAUGACGGGUAUCCGGCCUGAGAGGGUGAACGGACACACUGGAACUGAGACACGGUCCAGACUCCUACGGGAGGCAGCAGUAGGGAAUAUUGCUCAAUGGGGGAAACCCUGAAGCAGCAACGCCGCGUGGAGGAUGAAGGUUUUAGGAUUGUAAACUCCUUUUGUUAGAGAAGAUAAUGACGGUAUCUAACGAAUAAGCACCGGCUAACUCCGUGCCAGCAGCCGCGGUAAUACGGAGGGUGCAAGCGUUACUCGGAAUCACUGGGCGUAAAGAGCGCGUAGGCGGGAUAGUCAGUCAGGUGUGAAAUCCUAUGGCUUAACCAUAGAACUGCAUUUGAAACUACUAUUCUAGAGUGUGGGAGAGGUAGGUGGAAUUCUUGGUGUAGGGGUAAAAUCCGUAGAGAUCAAGAGGAAUACUCAUUGCGAAGGCGACCUGCUGGAACAUUACUGACGCUGAUUGCGCGAAAGCGUGGGGAGCAAACAGGAUUAGAUACCCUGGUAGUCCACGCCCUAAACGAUGGAUGCUAGUUGUUGGAGGGCUUAGUCUCUCCAGUAAUGCAGCUAACGCAUUAAGCAUCCCGCCUGGGGAGUACGGUCGCAAGAUUAAAACUCAAAGGAAUAGACGGGGACCCGCACAAGCGGUGGAGCAUGUGGUUUAAUUCGAAGAUACACGAAGAACCUUACCUAGGCUUGACAUUGAGAGAAUCCGCUAGAAAUAGUGGAGUGUCUGGCUUGCCAGACCUUGAAAACAGGUGCUGCACGGCUGUCGUCAGCUCGUGUCGUGAGAUGUUGGGUUAAGUCCCGCAACGAGCGCAACCCCCUUUCUUAGUUGCUAACAGGUUAUGCUGAGAACUCUAAGGAUACUGCCUCCGUAAGGAGGAGGAAGGUGGGGACGACGUCAAGUCAUCAUGGCCCUUACGCCUAGGGCUACACACGUGCUACAAUGGGGUGCACAAAGAGAAGCAAUACUGCGAAGUGGAGCCAAUCUUCAAAACGCCUCUCAGUUCGGAUUGUAGGCUGCAACUCGCCUGCAUGAAGCUGGAAUCGCUAGUAAUCGCAAAUCAGCCAUGUUGCGGUGAAUACGUUCCCGGGUCUUGUACUCACCGCCCGUCACACCAUGGGAGUUGUGUUUGCCUUAAGUCAGGAUGCUAAAUUAGCUACUGCCCACGGCACACACAGCGACUGGGGUGAAGUCGAAA
rnacentral:rRNA from 1 species